rnacentral:rRNA from 1 species
AGCAUAUCAAUAAGCGGAGGAAAAAGAAACCAACAGGGAUUGCCUCAGUAACGGCGAGUGAAGCGGCAACAGCUCAAAUUUGAAAUCUGGCCCUAGGCCCGAGUUGUAAUUUGCAGAGGAUGCUUUUGGUGCGGUGCCUUCCAAGUUCCCUAGAACGGGACGCCAGAGAGGGUGAGAGCCCCGUACAGUUGGACACCAAGCCUUUGUAAAGCUCCUUCGACGAGUCGAGUAGUUUGGGAAUGCUGCUCAAAAUGGGAGGUAUAUUUCUUCUAAAGCUAAAUACCGGCCAGAGACCGAUAGCGCACAAGUAGAGUGAUCGAAAGAUGAAAAGCACUUUGAAAAGAGGGUUAAACAGCACGUGAAAUUGUUAAAAGGGAAGCGCUUGUGACCAGACUUGCGUCCGGUGAAUCACCCAGCUCUCGCGGCUGGGGCACUUCGCCGGCUCAGGCCAGCAUCAGCUCGCUGUCGGGGACAAAAGCUUCAGGAACGUAGCUCUCUUCGGGGAGUGUUAUAGCCUGUUGCAUAAUACCCUUCGGCGGGCUGAGGUACGCGCUCCGCAAGGAUGCUGGCAUAAUGGUCAUCAGCGACCCGUCUUGAAACACGGACCAAGGAGUCAACCUUAUGUGCGAGUGUUCGGGUGUCAAACCCCUACGCGUAAUGAAAGUGAACGCAGGUGAGAGCUUCGGCGCAUCAUCGACCGAUCCUGAUGUUCUCGGAUGGAUUUGAGUAAGAGCAUAUAGGGUUGGACCCGAAAGAAGGUGAACUAUGCGUGUAUAGGGUGAAGCCAGAGGAAACUCUGGUGGAGGCUCGCAGCGGUUCUGACGUGCAAAUCGAUCGUCAAAUAUGCGCAUGGGGGCGAAAGACUAAUCGAACCUUCUAGUAGCUGGUUUUCCGCCGAAG